rnacentral:Y_RNA from 13 species
GGCUGGUCCAAGGGCAGUGGCGUUCACAACUAAUUGAUCACAGCCAGUUCCAGAUUUCUUUUUUUUUUUUUUCCAUUCCCAUUGCUUCACCUGAUGAGCCUAAA